rnacentral:tRNA from 1 species
UAUAGGUCAGUGGUAGAGCACUUGCCUAGCAUGCACGAAGCCCUGGGUUCAAGUCCCAGUA